UACCAUGACAUGGGGUAAAUUGGGAUCCUGGGGUAAAUUGGGACAAACCUGCGGAAGAUUCUCAAAGUACCUGUAGCACGGAAUCUACCUAAUUUUGUUUAUGUUAAUAUUUAUCAAUGUAUAGAAGAAAAACCAAGUUAACUAUGGAAGUACUAAAUAUGAGUUAAGUUGGUCCCAAAAAUUCGUCAAAUUAAAUUGAAAAUAGUGGUUGAAAAGUGCGUUUUAAAACAGCUUAAAGAACUUUUAAAAAAAGUAAUAUUAUCGUUGUUUUUUCCAUAAGAUUACAGUUUAUAUAAGUUUUUAAUACACCUGGAAAUACCACAACAAACGAAUCUAUUCACGCGUCGAAUCAUGAUUUUGUUAACAUUCAAAACGCACACACAAAU